rnacentral:rRNA from 1 species
CUGGCGGCGCGCUUAAAACAUGCAAGUCGAACGAGAAGCUCGGAGCUUGCUCCGGGUGGAAAGUGGCGAACGGGUGAGGAGCACGUGAGGAACCUGCCCCGAAGACCGGGACAACACCGGGAAACCGGUGCUAAUACCGGAUGCCCUCACCGGACCGCAUGAUCCGGUGAGGAAAUGGAUUCCACUUCGGGAUGGCCUCGCGGACUAUCAGCUUGUUGGUGAGGUAAUGGCUCACCAAGGCUACGACGGUUAGCUGGUCUGAGAGGAUGAUCAGCCACACUGGGACUGAGACACGGCCCAGACUCCUACGGGAGGCAGCAGUGGGGAAUAUUGGACAAUGGGCGCAAGCCUGAUCCAGCCAUGCCGCGUGAGUGACGAAGGCCUUAGGGUUGUAAAGCUCUUUUGGCGGGGACGAUAAUGACGGUACCCGCAGAAUAAGCUCCGGCUAACUUCGUGCCAGCAGCCGCGGUAAUACGAAGGGAGCUAGCGUUGUUCGGAAUCACUGGGCGUAAAGCGCACGUAGGCGGAUUUGUAAGUCAGGGGUGAAAUCCCGGGGCUCAACCUCGGAACUGCCUUUGAUACUGCAAAUCUCGAGUCCGGAAGAGGUGGGUGGAAUUCCUAGUGUAGAGGUGAAAUUCGUAGAUAUUAGGAAGAACACCGGUGGCGAAGGCGGCCCACUGG